rnacentral:rRNA from 1 species
UACCUGCCCACUGAUAAUAUAAAAUUUAAUGGCCGCGGUAUUAAUAACCGUGCAAAGGUAGCAUAAUCAUUAGUCUUUUAAUUAAAGGCUUGUAUGAAUGGUUGGACAAAAGGAAAGCUGUCUUCUUUAAUAUAAAUUGAAUUUAACUUUUAGGUGAAAAGGCUUAAAUAUUUCAGAGGGACGAUAAGACCCUAUAAAGCUUUAUAUAAAAUAAAUUUUAGAUUGAAGUUUUUUUUAAAGAUUAAAAUUUAUACUUAUAUUUUGUUGGGGCAACAGAAGUAUAAUUAUUAAUAACUGCUUAGUUUAUAAACAGGUAUAUUUGUGUUAUUAAGUGAUCCUUAUUUAGAGAUUUCAAGAUUAAGUUACUUUAGGGAUAACAGCGUAAUUUUUUUAGAGAGUUCAUAUCGAAAAAAAAGUUUACGACCUCGAUGUUGAAUUAAAAUUUCUAUAUAGUGCAGCUAUUAUAUAAGAGGGUCUGUUCGACCUUUAAUUUUUUACAUGAUUUGAGUUCAGACCGGCGUGAGCC